rnacentral:lncRNA from 1 species
GUCUUUCUGGCCCUAUCUCUCAACAUCUCUAUCUCUGAGUCUGUAACUGUCUCUCUGGUUCUCCUGUCUGAGUAGGUGUUUCUCUCCGCAACCCCGCGUUUGUCUCUGUGUGCUCUGUUCCGUCUCUGUCUCUCUCUUUUGUCUCUUUGUGUCUGUCACCAUCUCUCUGCCUCUCAGUUGCUGUCUGCUUCUCUGUCUCUCAGGAGGCCUUGGCAUCUCUGGGACGGGGUUUGGAAUCUCGGUUCCCACUUACUCGCUGGGUGACCUUGGCCAAACACUUCCCCUCUCUGAGCCGUUUCCUCCUUAGUGGGAGUGAAGAGACGCACCCGGGGCAGGGACUGGCACUCGGCAGGCGGCCAGGAACGAUUCCUCUCCCUCCCCUCUUCCAUCUCUGCCACUCCACGUGCCUCAUCAGCUGUGGGUCUAAAGGGGCUGGGGGUGGGGUGAGGGUGGGGAGCGCUCCACUGAUUGUGUCUCUGCACUCGUUGGGGGCCCUGCCCCCAGCCGGGGCCCGCGGGGCACCGGGGUGGGUGCUCGGAAAAUCCUAGGUGCACAGAGAGAAAGAGACAUGGAGACAGGCGCAGAGAUCUUGAGAGAAAGAGAGAUAGCAAGAGACACGGACACCAGGCCAGAGUCAGCGCGACCGAGGCCGGUGCUGCAGGAGCGGGGAGCAGUUUGGCUUCCCCCCGACUUCCCCUCCCACCUCGAGGAGGGGUUGAUGGGUGGGGAACAGGCUAGGCGGGUUGGGGGCAUGACUCAGGCUGGAGAUGGGAGGGAGGGAGGAGGGAGGCGGGACUCUUCCCCGUCUCCUCCCCUCCUCUCCCUCUCCCCGCCCCGGGGUGGGGCCCCGAAGGUCCGGGGCUUUCCCGGAUUUCCCUGGGGGCGGGGCAGCCGCUGGGGUUGAGUCCGGGUCACUGAGUCACAGGAGGCGGAGAGGGAGGCUUUGGGGACACAGGGGGCGGGGCAUGGGGGCUGCACCCCGGACUUGCCCAGGGGGCACGCGGCGUCUCUCUGGUUCUCUCCCCCGGUCUCCUUCUGUCUUCGAAACUUGCCUGACCUCCCUCUGGUUGUCUCCUGCCCCGCCCUCUGUCUCUGUCUCCCCAUCUCUGUUGCUGUCUCUGUGUCCCCUGGGACCUUGAAAGUGGGUAUUGGGGCCCCGGGAAGGGACUUUGGCCGGACUCGGGCCCCACCCGAGUGGAUCGUUAACCCAGGAUGUGAGAAGUGGCUGUGUGGAGAGGCCUCACCCCUUCCCUUCCUUUCGACCUCUCUCUGGAUCUCCCUUAUCCCCCUUCAUGGCGAAACAUCCCGAGCACAGACCUGUGUUAAUUCCACCUCCACCCCUUGCUCCCGGUGGGACCUCAGACAAGCCAUCCCCUGCCUUGAGACUCAGUUUGUUCUUCUGGAAAAUGGGACCAAUGGCAACCCCUGCCUGCUGGUGUUGUGGGGGCCACAGCAAGGGAAGAGGGGAGGAAUUCGGUUGGACAGGCUGGGGGCUGUGUUCCCUGCCCAUCCAACCCCACCCCUGGGGACCCUCAGACACAGGAGAGGGGUGUGGAGCACUAUCCCAAUGCACAGAAAGGAAAGCUGAGGUUUGGAGGGGCGAGGCUUAGGGUGGGGACCCUCAGAGGUAGGGUGGGAAGGACACCCAAGCCUGUCCCACUCCUGGCAUCCCAGGGCAGCUGGUGCAGUGGUUCCAACCUAGCAGGACUGUAGAGGGGAGAAGAUGUGAUGGGUCCGGUGGGAGCUUCGAAGGGCUGGGAGAGACGGUGCUGCUGGAAGAGAGGGUGCUGAUGGUUCUCUGAGGUUGGAAGAGGGAUAAAAGGGUCAGAAGGAGGAGGAUCUGAAGAAGGAAGAUAGGUCUGAGAGAGAAGUAGAUGGUUUAGUGGGAGGAGGGGGAGAGGAUCUGAAGGAGGAGGACAGGGUCUGUUGGAGGAGGUAAGGGUCUGAUGGAGGAAAUAAGGGUCUGAGGGUGGAGGCGAGGUUUGGAGGGAGGAGGUGAAGGUCUGAGGGAGGAGACAAGGGUCUGAAGGAGGAGAUAAGAGUCUGAGGAAGGAGGCGAGGGUUUGAGAGAGGAGGUGAGGGUCUGAAGGAGGAGGUGAGGGUCUGAAGGUGGAGGUGAGGUUCGGGGGGAGGAGAUGAGGGGCUAAGGGAGGAGGUGAGGGUCUGAGAGAGGAGACGAGGGUCUGAAGGAGGUGGGGGUCUGAGGGAGGAGGUGAGAGUCUGAAGGAGGAGAUAAGCAUGUGAGGAAGGAGGUGAGGGUUUGAGAGAGGAGGUGAGGGUUUGAGAGAAUAGGUGAGGGUUUGAAGGAGGAGGUAAGGGUCUGAGGGAGGAGGUGAGGGUCUGAAGGAGGAAGUGAGGGUCUGAGUGAGGAGGUGAGGGUCUGAGGGGAGGGGAGAGUAUCUGAGGGAGAGGGCACAGUCUGAGGAAGUCUGAGAAGCACUAAGUGAGGGGACGCAGCUCUGAGGGAGGAGGAGAGAGUUGGAGGGGAAAGAAGGGUCUGAGGAAAGAAGAUUUGGAGAGAGUCUGAGGGUAGAGGCCAGAUCUGAGGGAGAAGAAAGAGGCUCAGGGGAAAAGAUCUGAGGGUCCGAGGGUGGAAGGCAUGGACUAGGGGAGGAGGAGCUGGUGGGGUGGAGGGGUGGAGAGGCGUGCCUCCGGAGCCAGCAGGGACCAAGGGGAGGGAAGGGAAGGGAGGCUGGGAGGCAGCCCCGCCCUGCAGCUGUCUCUAAUUUCCCAGAAUCUUCUGCUCUCAGGAAAGUCCCAGCUCCCACAGCAGCCUCCCUCCAAUGUCGGGAACGGAGGAUGCGGAACCAGGAUGGCCACCCCCACCCUCCCCCGGCUCCUUGCACCCCAGGCGGAAAGGACUAGGGUCUCCUUUCUCUGGGCCUUGGCCUCUGGAGGGCCCCCACCCGCAGGGGCAGCCCCUGGAUGAGUCUUAGAAACUUCCCAGAGGAGGCCAGGAAGUUCUGCUUGGUGUCUAACCACUUUCCCCUCAUGCAGGCCGCCCUUUGUACCUGUUCAGAUCUCCUCCCCAGCUGCUGUUUCUUUUUCCCCAACCCAUCCUGGGGGAGGAAAGGCCAGGAAUUUACCUGCUCAAAGUCCUGAGAGGGAAACGAAAUUCCAUCUGGAAGUCUGUAGGCUUGAGGCAGCUUUCUUGCUCUCAGGGGCCUCAAUUUCCCUUUCUAAGAGGAGAGAGUAGGGCUGGUCAGGGCCUAAGUUCCCAUCUGGCUCAAUUACUGGGUCUUGUCCUGCUUUUUUUUUGAGACAAGAUCUGGCUCUGUCUCCCAGGCUGAAGUGCAGUGGUGAGAUCAUAGCUCACUGUAGCCUUGAACUCCUGGACUCAAAUGAUCCUCCUGCCUCAACCUCCCAAGUAGGUGGGACUACAGGCAUGUGCCGCAAUGACUGGCUAAUAAAAAAAACAAUUUGUAGACUCAGGGGGUCUCACUGUGUUGCCCAGGGUGUUCUCGAACUCCUGGGCUCAAGCGAACCUCCCUCCUCGGUCUCCCAAAGUGCUGGGAUUACAGGCGUGAGCCACCGCAUCUGGCUUCCUUGUCCUACUUUGUUUUGAAUUGAGGCCUGGGUCCAAGUCCUGUCUCCUGAUCGUUAGCUUUGUGACUUCCGGGCAGUUACUUAACCUCGUGGAGCCUCAGCUUCCUCAUCUGUAGAGUGGAUCACAUCAAGAAAAUAUGACUCUGUCCCAUGGGGUCUGAUGUAUAGAAGGCUCUUGAUGCAAUUUAGCUGCUAUUAGUUUUAUAAUAAUAAUAAUAAUAAUAAUAAUAAUAAUAAUAAUAUAACAUUAUAUAUUAUUAUUGUCCUCAUCAAAUAUCCUGUGUUUUCAAUAGCAGGACCUGCUUCAUUGGGGAAAAUAGAAUUCAACAUGCUGGGCUUAGAGACAUAGUUUUGAGCCCUGGCUCGUCCAUGUGCUAGUUAUGUGACCUUAGGCAGGUGGCUUUCCCUCUCUGUGCCUUCCUUGUGACUUUAUUAUUUUUUAAUUUUUAUUUUUUGAGAUGGAGUCUCGCUCUGUCGCUCAGGCUGGAGUGCAGUGCCAUGAUCUCGGCUCACUGCAAUCUCCAAUCCCUGGUUCAAGCAAUUCUCCUGCCUCAGCUUCCCAAGUAGCUGGGAUUACAGGCGUCCGCCACCAUGCCCGGCUAAUUUUUGUAUGUUUAGUGGAGACUGGGUUUCACCAUGUUGGCCAAGCUGUUCUCAACCUCCUGACCUCAAGUGAU